GACGAACGCUGGCGGCGUGCUUAACACAUGCAAGUCGAACGGAAAGGCCCUGCUUGCAGGGUACUCGAGUGGCGAACGGGUGAGUAACACGUGGGUGAUCUGCCCUUCACUUCGGGAUAAGCCUGGGAAACUGGGUCUAAUACCGGAUAGGAGCCAUUUUUAGUGUGAUGGUUGGAAAGUUUUUUCGGUGUAGGAUGAGCUCGCGGCCUAUCAGCUUGUUGGUGGGGUAAUGGCCUACCAAGGCGGCGACGGGUAGCCGGCCUGGGAGGGUGGACGGCCAAAAUGGGACUGAGACACGGCCCAGACUCCUACGGGAGGCAGAAGGGGGGAAGAUUGCAAAAUGGGAGCAAGCCUGAUGCAGAGAAGCCGCGGGGGGGAUGACGGCCUUCGGGUUGUAAAAUACUUUCGCUAGGGACGAAGCUUUUUGUGACGGUACCUAGAUAAGAAGCACCGGCUAACUACGUG
rnacentral:rRNA from 1 species